GCCCGCUCAGAAACUCAAAGGAAUUGACGGGGCCCGCACAAGCGGUGGAGCAUGUGGUUAAUUCGAUGAUACGCGAGGAACCUUACCUGGGCUCGAACGUAAGAUGACUGUAGGUGAAAGCUUACAUCUCUUCGGAGCAUUUUACGAGGUGCUGCAUGGUUGUCGCCAGCUCGUGCCGUGAGGUGUCGGGUUAAGUCCCAUAACGAGCGCAACCCCUACCUUUAGUUGCCAUCAGGUUAAGCUGGGGACUCUAAAGGAACUGCCUACGCAAGUAGUGAGGAAGGCGGGGAUGACGUCAAAUCAGCACGGCCCUUACGUCCAGGGCUACACACGUGCUACAAUGGCCGAUACAGAGGGCAGCUACCUGGUGACAGGAUGCAAAUCUCCAAAGUCGGUCUCAGUUCGGAUCGGAGUCUGCAACCCGACUCCGUGAAGUUGGAUUCGCUAGUAAUCGCGCAUCAGCCAUGGCGCGGUGAAUACGUUCCCGGGCCUU
rnacentral:rRNA from 1 species